CCAUCACCAUCGCUGCCCUCCCCUCCCCACCUCCCUGCUCCCACCUCGAGUCCCUUACCAUCGCUAACUGUCCCAACCACAGUUCCGACCGCCUCUCCGCACCCUCGCUCGUUGCUGUGCAACUGGAUGGUGAAUUUCCUGUUGGAGGAAAAGUAUCUGAUCACCGCAUUCGAGCUCCUCGAGGACAACCGCCACGACCAGGCCAUCCAUCUCCAUGAGUUCUUUUCGAAUCUUGCGCACUCCCCCCCCCC
rnacentral:lncRNA from 1 species